AAGUAAAAAAUCGUAACAAGGUUUCCGUAGGUGAACCUGCGGAAGGAUCAUUACCGAGUGAGGGCCCUCUGGGUCCAACCUCCCACCCGUGUCUAUCGUACCUUGUUGCUUCGGCGGGCCCGCCGUUUCGACGGCCGCCGGGGAGGCCUUGCGCCCCCGGGCCCGCGCCCGCCGAAGACCCCAACAUGAACGCUGUUCUGAAAGUAUGCAGUCUGAGUUGAUUAUCGUAAUCAGUUAAAACUUUCAACAACGGAUCUCUUGGUUCCGGCAUCGAUGAAGAACGCAGCGAAAUGCGAUAAGUAAUGUGAAUUGCAGAAUUCAGUGAAUCAUCGAGUCUUUGAACGCACAUUGCGCCCCCUGGUAUUCCGGGGGGCAUGCCUGUCCGAGCGUCAUUGCUGCCCUCAAGCACGGCUUGUGUGUUGGGCCCCCGUCCCCCUCUCCCGGGGGACGGGCCCGAAAGGCAGCGGCGGCACCGCGUCCGGUCCUCGAGCGUAUGGGGCUUUGUCACCUGCUCUGUAGGCCCGGCCGGCGCCAGCCGACACCCAACUUUAUUUUUCUAAGGUUGACCUCGGAUCAGGUAGGGAUACCCGCUGAACUUAAGCAUAUCAAAAGCCCGGAGGAA
rnacentral:rRNA from 1 species